GCCUAAAAUUAAGCCUAAACAAAAACCCAUGAAAAUCAUUACUAAAUCUUAUUAAACAAAACAUUUUACCAGUCCAGUAGAGGUGAUCAAAAAACUCAUUAGCGCUUUACUACAAGUACCGCAAGGGAAAAAUGAAAUAGUUCUGAAACAGCUCUAAAGCAAAACACAGCAGAGAUAAACACUCGUACCUUUUGCAUCAUGGUUUAGCUAGUCCCUUACAAGCAAAGCGAAACAUCAGUCUGUCCCCCCGAAACUAGGCGAGCUACUUCAAAACAGUUUAUAGAACUAACCCGUCUCUGUCGCAAAAGAGUGGGAUGAUUUUCAAGUAGAGGUGAAAGACCUACCGAGCCUAGAGAUAGCUGGUUAUUCAGAAAAAGAAUUUUAGUUCAACCCUAAGUCUCCUCAUUAUCAUAACAAACCCCUAAGACUUAAGAGCUAGUUAAAUAAGGCACAGCUUAUUUAACAAAGGAUACAACCUACAAAAAAGGGUAAAUCAUUUCACACUAAUUAAGUGGGCCUGAAAGCAGCCAUCUUCAAGAAAGCGUUACAGCUCCAUUUUUUCCCUUUUAACAAAUACCCAUAAACACCCUGAACCCUUUAUUACUACUGAAUGAUCCUAUACCUUUAUAGGAGCCCCAAUGCUAAAACUAGUAACAAGAAAUAGAAUUUCUCCAAAAUAUAAGUAUAAGCCAAAAUGGACCAACCAUUGGCAACUAACGUCACUGAACUUAAUAUAAUAACUCCCCAAGAAAACACUAUAACUUCUAACGUUAAUCUUACACAAGAAUAUUUCUGGAAAGAUUGAAAGAAGGGGAAGGAACUCGGCAAACUUUAACCCCGCCUGUUUACYAAAAACAUCGCCUCUUGACAAACUAUAAGAGGUCCAGCCUGCCCAGUGAUAUAAUUAAACGGCCGCGGUACCCUGACCGUGCGAAGGUAGCAUAAUCACUUGUUCCUUAAAUAGGGACUCGUAUCAACGGCAUCACGAGGGUUUUACUGUCUCCCCUCUCUAAUCAGUGAAACUGACUUCCCCGUGAAGAGGCGGGGAUAUAACUACAAGACGAGAAGACCCCAUGGAGCUUUAAACCCACUAACAACCCCAACUAAACACACCCAUAUAAACGAAAAGUUAUGUAUAGUGGUUUUAGGUUGGGGUGACCACGGAGUAAAACAAAACCUCCAUGAUGAAUGGAAAUCUAUCCUAAUCCAUGAGCCACCACUCUAAGAAUCAAAAAUUUGACAUAAAAUGAUCCGGUAACCGAUCAACGAACCAAGUUACCCUGGGGAUAACAGCGCAAUCCAUUUCAAGAGCCCCUAUCGACAAAUGGGUUUACGACCUCGAUGUUGGAUCAGGGUAUCCCAGUGGUGCAGCCGCUACUAAAGGUUUGUUUGUUCAACAAUUAAAACC
rnacentral:rRNA from 1 species